GGAAAAUCAAUAAAAUAUAUUUUAAAAAAAAAAAAAGCUAUUUAGUUUAAAAAAAAAAAAAAAGAAUAAAAGCUAUUUAACUUUGUUUCAUUCAGCACUUCCCAAACUGAUUUGAGUAAAGGACACCUUUUUAAUUUUAAACGCACCUCAUAACAUUUGGCCUAUCCGCGUUCCUCAGAAAACCAAGGGAAAUAAACCCUAAACUAUGCCAGUGGCAUAGAAAACAGCAGUAAAUCAGCAGCAGGAAAAACUGGAUGUUGUCGGAGGCCUGGCUCAGACGGUUUAGCAGGUGUGACAUCUGAAAGAAAGAAAGAAAGAAAGAAAGAAAGAAAGAAAGAAAGAAAGAAAGAAAGAAAGAAAGAAAGAAAGAAAGAAAAAAAAAAAAAAAAAAAAAAAACAGAAUAUACCAGCUGUGGUUGACAAGCAGAAGGGAACUUCCCCAAUUUUUAUGGAGAAACUUCAGAUCAUAUUCACUUUUUUGGCAGCAACAUUACAAUGUUGGUUUACAUUAAACUGAAUCCGUUAAAACCCUAUGUGUGCUUCACACACGUUGUUCUUAAAUUUGUUCCCACUCCUAUUGUCUAUGUGCCCAAAUGUCACUUAACUGGUUUGGUCUGAAUUUCCUUAUAUGAAAACUGGGGAUAAUAAUACUCCACGUUUCAACACUUGCAAUAUUAAAAUACUUUGAGCAUGUGCAAA